GCCAGGUAUGGUGGCCUAUACCUGUAAACCCAAUGGCUUGGGAGGCUGAGGCAGGAGGAUUGUGAGUUCAAAGCCAGCCUCAGCAAUAAUUUAAUGAGGACCUAAAGCAAAUUAGGAAGACCCUGUCUCUA
rnacentral:sRNA from 1 species